rnacentral:rRNA from 1 species
UACAGAGGGUGCGAGCGUUGUCCGGAAUCACUGGGCGUAAAGGGCGCGUAGGCGGCUUGAUAAGCGUGCGGUGAAAGCCCGGGGCUCAACCCCGGGUCGGCCGUGCGAACUGUCGAGCUGGAGCACUGUAGAGGCAGGUGGAAUUCCGGGUGUAGCGGUGGAAUCCGUAGAUAUCAGGAGGAACACCGGUGGCGAAGGCGGGACUCUGGGCCGAUACUGACGCUGAGGAGCGAAAGCGUGGGGAGCAAACAGG